CGCCAGACUCCUACGGGAGGCAGCAGUGGGGGAUAUUGCACAAUGGGGGAAACCCUGAUGCAGCGACGCCGCGUGGGCGAAGAAGUAUUUCGGUAUGUAAAGCCCUAUCAGCAGGGAAGAAGAAAUGACGGUACCUGAGUAAGAAGCACCGGCUAAAUACGUGCCAGCAGCCGCGGUAAUACGUAUGGUGCAAGCGUUAUCCGGAUUUACUGGGUGUAAAGGGAGCGCAGGCGGCACGGCAAGCCUGAUGUGAAAGCCCGCGGCCCAACCGCGGGACUGCAUUGGGAACUACCGGGCUGGAGUGCCGGAGAGGUAGGCGGAAUUCCUAGUGUAGCGGUGAAAUGCGUAGAUAUCAGGAGGAACACCGGUGGCGAAGGCGGCCUGCUGGACUGCAACUGACGUUGAGGCCCGAAAGCGUGGGGAGCAAACAGGAUUAGAUACCAGAGUAAGU
rnacentral:rRNA from 1 species